AAGGGUUCCAUGUGAACAGCAGUUGAACAUGGGUCAGUUGUUCCUAAGAGGUAGGGGAGCACCAUUCCAAAAGGGCAAGCAGUGGUCUCUGUUGCCCUCGGCCAAUCAAACAGGAGUUGGCUUCAGAUCCCUGAAUCUGGAGUGGCGGAAACGGGUGCCAAGAUGUGUCCAGGGCUGUAACGCAACUGAUCCUGGAGAAGCUGGUGGGAGCCCUGGGGGGGAGUUCUCUUUUAUUUGUGAAGGCCAGGGCGCCCUGGCAUGGGCUUGCCUUGAGAGAAGGGCCUGAGCCUUGGAAAGCACUGGAGUUCCAGCAGUGAUUCUGAAUAAACACCGGGAAGAACUUUCUGACGGUAAGAGCUAUUUGACCGUCGAACAGACUCCCACAAGAGGU